rnacentral:rRNA from 1 species
GCUUUUUGGUUUUAAGAAUAAGAAGUCGGGCCUGCCCAGUGAGAAAUAUUAAACGGCUGCAGCGAGAGCUGUACUAAGGUAGCGCGAUAAUUUGUCUUUUAAUUGGAGAAUGGUAUGAAAGGUUUGUCGCGGAUUGGUUGUCUCUUAAAAGUUUAGUGAAGUUUCCUUUUUAGUGAAAAGGCUAAAAAUUAUACAAAAGACGAGAAGACCCUGUCGAGCUUGAUUAGCUUAAAUCUAUUAAUGAGUCUAAGUAAAUGUUAGUUGGGGAAAACUGGGCUUCAUAAAAUAAGCUCACUAAAGCGGAGAUCCUUUUUUAGAGAAAACUGGUAUAAGUUACCGCAGGGAUAACAGCGUUAUUUUCUUUGAGAGAUCUUAUUGAGGAGAAAGUUUGCGACCUCGAUGUUGGAUUAGAAUUACUGUUUGGUGCAGCAGCUAAAAAAAGUGGGACUGUUCGUCCUUUAA